rnacentral:sRNA from 1 species
AACGGUCACCUAGCCAACUGACGUUUUUAGUGGAUUAUCUAUCCACAAAGUACAGCCAAUAGAUUUAUGUCUCUAUUGGCUGCUUUUU